CAGUAGCCGCGGGAAUACGUAGGUGGCAAGCGUUGUCCGGAAUUAUUGGGCGUAAAGCGCGCGCAGGUGGUUUAAUAAGUCUGAUGUGAAAGCCCACGGCUCAACCGUGGAGGGUCAUUGGAAACUGUUAAACUUGAGUGCAGGAGAGAAAAGUGGAAUUCCUAGUGUAGCGGUGAAAUGCGUAGAGAUUAGGAGGAACACCAGUGGCGAAGGCGGCUUUUUGGCCUGUAACUGACACUGAGGCGCAAAAGCGUGGGGAGCAAACAGGAUUAGAUACCCGGGUAGUCCCUGUCUCUUAUAC
rnacentral:rRNA from 1 species